rnacentral:rRNA from 1 species
AUUGAACGCUGGCGGAAUGCUUUACACAUGCAAGUCGAACGGCAGCACGGGUGCUUGCACCUGGUGGCGAGUGGCGAACGGGUGAGUAAUACAUCGGAACGUGCCCAGUCGUGGGGGAGUAACACAGCGAAAGCUGUGCUAAUACCGCAUACGUCCUGAGGGAGAAAGCGGGGGACCGUAAGGCCUCGCGCGAUUGGAGCGGCCGAUGUCUGAUUAGCUAGUUGGUGAGGUAAAGGCUCACCAAGGCGACGAUCAGUAGCUGGUCUGAGAGGAUGAUCAGCCACACUGGAACUGAGACACGGUCCAGACUCCUACGGGAGGCAGCAGUGGGGAAUUUUGGACAAUGGGCGAAAGCCUGAUCCAGCCAUUCCGCGUGAGUGAAGAAGGCC